AUGACUAAUGUGGUGGAAGUGAAAGUUGGUUUGCACUGUGACGACUGUAUUAAGAAAAUUCUUAAAGCCAUAAAAAAAAUUCAAGAUAUUGAAACGUAUAACGUGGACACAAAGCUGAACAAGGUUAUCGUUACCGGCGACGUCACAACAGAACAAGUUAUCAGAGUUCUUCACAAAAUUGGAAAGAAUGCAACUCCCUUUCAAGAUGAUGCAAUUUAG